UGAACGCUAAGAGGUCAGGGGUGGUGUUUUCUUCUGGCUAACCAAGCAUGGUUAAUAAAAUCUGUCGCAGAUCACAAAAGGACUCUUUCUUCAUAAAUAAGGAGACAAACAAAACAGUGAGUGGGCUUUUUGUUGUUAUAUGUUGAGAAGACAGCAAAAUGCUCCUUUUUACUGCUCAGCUUAAACGUAUUCAUGUAUAAAUACUGUGUAAUGUAAAGAAGUGGUCCCAGUUUGUGCUUAUCUGCCCCACUUCUGGGCUCGCUGGAGAUGCAGAUGAGAUGCUUCCAGCUGGUUUCAGCUAUAAGCGACACCCAUCCUGGAUUAUGUCACAGGGUUCGGAGCGUCUUCAGAUGGAGACCUCAGUUAAUGACAUGAUGGACCUGCCGUCUGUCUGAAGUAAUGAACUGAUUUUAAUAGAGCGCGUUUCUCCCAGAGAACUCAAAGCUCUUCAUACAACAUGCCACAGUCACCCCAGCACUGCUCUCUAUGCUUCGAGGGCUUUCUGACUAACAUUCACACACAUCCAUACGACCAACUGGCCCAAGGAUAUUUGGCAUGCAGACAAGGGGAACCAGGGAUUGAACCACCAACCCUCCGAUCAGCAGAUGAUCUGACCAGAGGGUAAAUGGAGAGCUCCUCCUCCUGUGUCUGUGCUGUUUCUGUCAGGCUUCUAUCAAACAGCCUGAGUCUGUAACCUUUGUUAUAAAGACCAACACUUGUGCAGGAUCGUAUGUCCUGUUUCCCCUUUC
ensembl:lncRNA